UUUUUUUCCCAUAAAUAAGUUGAGUCGGCUGUGGUCAAUUUGACAAACUCCAUCCCGACACAGAGCUGAGCAUGAAAAGCAGACAUCACACAGCCUCAAAACAGACGAAGAGGAGGAUGAAGCUCAUCAAACUGUUCUAGAAAAGUCAGAGGACCUGGGGACUAUACGGGCUUCCCAGGCGGUGCUUGUGCUAAAGAACCCGCCUGCCAAUGCAGGAGACCUAAGAGAUGCAGGUUUAACCCUGGGUCAGGAAGAUCCCCUGGAGGAGGACACAGCAACCCACUCCAGCAUUCUUGCCUGGAGAAUCCCACAGACAAAGGAGCCUGGCGGACUACAGUGCAUGGGGUCACAAAGAGUCGGGCAUGACUGAGCAACCCAGCAUGGGGACCACACAUCCACCCUCGUGCGGAGAUCCGUGUAGAAUCGCCGACAACAACGUCCGGUGCCAAGGACAGAGCGUACCAGGGACAAGUCCUAAUUGGGCAGGAAGUAGUCUUAAAAUAUCCUUUAAAUGUGCUAAGUGAGGGGAGGCAUUUGCAACCUCAUCAGAAUGUAGGGGUCAAUCCGUGUGAUGAAAGAGUAUUAAUUUAUAUCUGGGCCCGGGGAGGGGCGCUGAGGACAUAGGAGAAAGAUCUGUGCACAUGGCUUGUUCACACGUGACGUGCACACACACGCCAAGGUGGAGCACACACGAGGCUGACCCACCUAGAGCUGCCGGAGGCCCCUUUGGGCUGGAGCCUGGACACGCAGCCCAGACUGGGCUGUGAGAGCGUCAGACCGUGGGCCUCACCCAGGGCCCCGCUUUCAGGCUUAGAGCGGGGAACCAGCCACUCCAUCAGAGCUUGUUAUUAUAAGACAUCCCAGCCACGUGUCUGCCCAGGGGUGGGUCUGUUUAGAAGGCAUACGUGUAUCCAUUUAUAAACAAACAAAUAAAUCAAUAAAAUUGUGAAAGAGAAUAGGAAGGAAAAAAAAAAAGAAAAUCUUUCCAGAAACUUGACCUCUCCCUGCACAUCCUCCCCUGAAACCCCAUGUUUUCAAUUAUGCCACACUGAAUCCACAGUGAUGCUAAUAUGUUUGCAUUGCUGGCUCUCAUAUUGUGUUUCUUUUUUUUUUCCACUACUCACCCCAGGAUAGCAAAGUCAAAAAUAUACCAUCCCGAGCAACAGGACACAUCUGCGGUGGAUCCACACAGAAGCAAUUAAUUUCCUGGUGGUAUUUUUACACUGGGGGCCUGGUGCAGGCCCCCAUUAUACAAACAAAAACUCCAGACAGCCCUGCUGCCUGAUAAAAAAUAAAUCAGAUUGCAGAAGGGCUGUUUGGCCCAGGACUGCUACAGGCAAUGACUUGUAAUGAGGCGUCCCGACACUAAUUAUGAAGCUUAUUAAAGACAAUUGUCCAACUUGUUCUAAGUGUAACCUAUAAUCACUCGGAAGAAGGCAGACACCCAGAAGCCACCACUGGCGGCCCCUUGCUCUGCAGAGUGGACGAUGAGGCACGGCCGGGGUGUGGCCCGCAUCUCAGAAAUGGGGCCGUUGUUUGAUUGGUUCAUGGAGCUGGGAGAGAUUCGCCACGGCGGUGAAAGAGGGCUGCGCAGAGGGGAGGAGACACACGGCUUUGAUUCCACCUUCUGCUCCACACAUGAGCUGGGAGCCCCAACAAACUGGCAAGGCCGCUGGGUCACCAGGGCUGCAGAGCGACACUGCAGAUGCCUUCGCUUCCCUUUGUACAGCCUGCUGGAAUAAUCCCAAAACCACAGAGGCAAGAGAUGAGAACGGAGGAGCAGGCAGGCGGGCACACGAGAAACCGUGCUUGAUUAUCUGCGAGGCUGGAAAUUUUAAUAACGCGGAGGUCCACCCUGGGCUCCAUCCAUGUCCCCAGGCACCUUGACCUCCUGGACAAGGGCUCUCGGGAGGGGAACCCAUCACCGCCUGCUGCACUCUGGGGCCCAGGUCCACACAACCCCACAGGAAUAGCCAAGCACGGAAAAGGCCGGUUUUGACCAAGCAUUUGCUAAAGGACAGAAAAAAAAAAUUGCCGGCUGCUUUUUUUAAUCUGGCUGUUAUAUGGUUGGUGGUGGUGGUAUUUUUGGAGUUUCUCUUUUCCUUGCCUCAAAUUCAGAUAGCUGUUAUUGACACAUCCUCUCAUAAAUAUUCCGAGAUUCCUAAUGGCUGGAUGUUUGCCCUGGGCCCAGGAGGCCUCAGAAGUUCUCCGGUGUAAGAAAGGGGGCUGGUGGGGCCACAUUUGGCUUUCAGAUGUACUGUGCCCGCAGAGUUAAUGCGUGAUUAAUUUUAUUCAUAAAAAUGUUAAUCACUUCAUUGUGAGAUCUUCUUAGCAUUCAGCACAGCCCGCACCUUUUUUAAUUUCUGGUGCCCACCAUCUCACAGAUGUAUUUAAUAUUUUCAGACACUGCCACAGCGAUUGGAGGACCCGGCAAUUAAGCAUACGUUUAAAAUUCAGUAACAAGCCAGGCACAGCAGCGACAAACAAGCAAGCAGGACAGAGGCAGGGAGGACAGGCUGCAAGUGACCAGCUCGCCUGGCUCCCACCCUUCGCGGCCGCCCCCGCCCUCCCAAGCCCUGGCCAGCCUGAGCCCCUCCCCGAGCAGAGGAACCCCGGCGGCAUCAUCCCAUCGGAAAGGGCAGCUUCAAGUAGAAGGAAUUAAGAAUAAAAGCCCUUCGGUUUAGAAGACAUAAACCAUCUCAGUGUCAUUCCCACCACCGCAGGAGACCCUGGGGACGGUGGGGACCCUGGGGCGGGGGCAGGGCUGCCUGGGUGCGCCGCCCCCACCCCAGCCCCCGAUGCGGCCGAGCCAUUGUGUCCCUGCAUUGAGCCAGUGCUCAGGACGCCGGAUAAAUGGAUUAGGGGAUCAGAGACACCCGCGGCGUCUUCAGAAACCAAACAGCAGCCGCAGAAAGGGCUGCCCUUGCGCCCGCCUGAGGAGGCGGGCAGGAGGUGCUGGUGAGGGCGGGGAGCGGCAGCCCUGAGGCCCAGCAACCCCAGGGACCUCCCUUCCUGGGCUGCCAGCCGCCCGCCCCCCUGCUGCCAGCUCAGGCCCCCCUCCUCCUCUGACCUCCCGCUUAAGGCAGUUCCAGAAUAUUAGGCCACUCCUGGGGCCCUCUGGGUCCUCUGCCCCAGGGUGACUUGCAGGGCCCCUGGGCCUGCUCCUCUACAGAACAUGAGAUAAAUAAAGUGGUGUGAAGGCUGCUGGAUUUUAAAGAUGAAUCUAUGGAUCAUAUUUGUUGACACGUUUUCCUCCACCGAAAAAAGAAACACUUUUUAUUUGAAAAGGAAGUAAAAUACUUCUGGGGUCUCUAAAAGCACUGUGCAGCCAGGUUGGCCAGGCCCUCUGACCCCCGCACUCCCCCCAGGGGGGCCCGUGUUCAGA
ensembl:lncRNA